rnacentral:rRNA from 1 species
UACGUAGGGGGCAAGCGUUGUCCGGAUUUAUUGGGCGUAAAGAGCGUGUAGGCGGCCAAACAGGUCAGCUGUGAAAACUCGAGGCUCAACCUCGAGACGUCGGUUGAAACCGUUUGGCUAGAGUCCGAAAGAGGAGAGUGGAAUUCCCGGUGUAGCGGUGAAAUGCGCAGAUAUCGGGAAGAACACCCGUGGCGAAGGCGGCUCUCUGGGACGGUACUGACGCUGAGACGCGAAAGCGUGGGGAGCGAACAGG